GUAAGGAAUAUUGGUCAAUGGACGAAAGUCUGAACCAGCCAUGCCGCGUGGAGGAUGAAGGUCCUCUGGAUUGUAAACUUCUUUUAUAUGGGACGAAAAAAGGCUUUUCUAAGUCGUCUGACGGUACCAUAUGAAUAAGCACCGGCUAACUCCGUGCCAGCAGCCGCGGUAAUACGGAGGGUGCAAGCGUUAUCCGGAUUCACUGGGUUUAAAGGGUGCGUAGGUGGAUUGCCAAGUCUGUGGUGAAAUCUUCGAGCUUAACUCGGAAACUGCCAUGGAUACUGGUGAUCUUGAAUAUCGUGGAGGUUAGCGGAAUAUGUCAUGUAGCGGUGAAAUGCUUAGAUAUGACAUAGAACACCAAUUGCGAAGGCAGCUGGCUACGCGAAUAUUGACACUCAGGCACGAAAGCGUGGGGAUCAAACAGGAUUAGAUACCCUAGUAGUCC
rnacentral:rRNA from 1 species